UACAGAGGUCCCGAGCGUUGUUCGGAUUCACUGGGCGUAAAGGGUGCGUAGGUGGUGAGGUAAGUCGGAUGUGAAAGCUCCAAGCUCAACUUGGGAAUGGCAUUGGAAACUACCUUGCUAGAGGGUUUGAGGGGGGACUGGAAUACUUGGUGUAGCAGUGAAAUGCGUAGAUAUCAAGUGGAACACCAGUGGCGAAGGCGAGUCCCUGGAAAACUCCUGACACUGAGGCACGAAAGCUAGGGGAGCAAACAGG
rnacentral:rRNA from 1 species